GUGGGGAUAGGUGAGUUGGUAGACGU
rnacentral:tRNA from 1 species